AGAGUUGUAUCCUGGCUCAGAACGAACGCUGGCGGCGUGCCUAACACAUGCAAGUCGAACGAGAAGUACGUAGCAAUACGUAUUGUAAAGUGGCGCACGGGUGAGUAACACGUGGGUAAUCUGCCCUUGAGUUUGGGAUAACCCCGCGAAAGCGGGGCUAAUACCGGAUAAGACCACGGGGACCAAAGUCCCUGGGGUAAAAGGUGGCCUCUAUUUAUAAGCUACCACUUGAGGAUGAGCCCGCGGCCCAUUAGCUAGUUGGCAGGGUAACGGCCUACCAAGGCGAUGAUGGGUAGCUGGUCUGAGAGGACGAUCAGCCACACUGGAACUGAGACACGGUCCAGACUCCUACGGGAGGCAGCAGUGGGGAAUAUUGCGCAAUGGGCGAAAGCCUGACGCAGCAACGCCGCGUGGGGGAUGAAGGUUCUCGGAUUGUAAACCCCUUUCGAUCGGAACGAAUCCCCUCCUGGUAAAUAAUCAGGAGGAUCGACGGUACCGGGAGAAGAAGCCACGGCUAACUCUGUGCCAGCAGCCGCGGUAAGACAGAGGUGGCGAGCGUUGUUCGGAUUUAUUGGGCGUAAAGCGUACGCAGGCGGUUUGGUAAGUCAGAGGUGAAAGACCACAGCUUAACUGUGGCACUGCCUUUGAUACUGCCUUUCUAGAGUGCA
rnacentral:rRNA from 1 species